CGUUUUUAAUUUCGUGUUUUGCAAUAUCGAGGUAAGUGGUUUUCCGAACUAUUUAGUGUUUUUAAGAUUAUCGUUACUUUUAAGUAUGCCUUAAAAAUUAUUCGGAUGCCUAAAUGUACAGUUUCAAAAUUUGUUAUCUUUUAUUUAAGGCUUCCCCAUUUAAAUUAAAUUGUUAUGUUCUUUUAUUUCAAAAUUCGGAUCAAGUAUUUAUUUUCGAACUGUGAAUGAGAUUAUAUGAUUUUGAACUGUGAAAAAGUAUCGUUUAUAUUAUCGAUAAUAUUGAGAAAAGUUUUUGAAAUCCUCAGUCUGACUAUGUAUAGAACCCGUUAUUGAUUACGUUUAGUUCCGGAGCUAAUAUAGGACCUACUAAGGCGCACACCUUUUAGAUGCCCUUCGGGGAGCGUGCAUUUUUAUAGAUACCUUAGUAGGGUGCGUAUCAUAACGUUAUCGAACUUUUGGGCCGUGUUACAGGGCUAUUGUAACCUUAGUCGCUAAGGCUGUGGAUUAAAAGAUUUAUGAUAUACAUUGAAAUCAUUUUUGAAUUGUUUUAGUUUU
rnacentral:lncRNA from 1 species